UACAGAGGGUGCGAGCGUUAAUCGGAAUUACUGGGCGUAAAGCGCACGUAGGCGGCUUGGUAUGUCGGGUGUGAAAUCCCCGGGCUCAACCUGGGAACUGCAUCCGAAACUGCCUUGCUCGAGUAUGGGAGAGGGAAGUGGAAUUUCCGGUGUAGCGGUGAAAUGCGUAGAUAUCGGAAGGAACAUCAGUGGCGAAGGCGGUUGCCUGGAGCUUUGCUGACGCUGAUGCGCGAAAGCGUGGGGAGCGAUCCGG
rnacentral:rRNA from 1 species